rnacentral:rRNA from 1 species
AGUGGCGCACGGGUGAGCAACACGUAGGCAAUCUACCCUGAGGAGGGGGAUAACGCUCCGAAAGGAACGCUAAUACUGCAUAAGACUACGGCUGGUCCGCCAGACGUAGUAAAAGCUGGCCUCUACAUGUAAGCUAGCACCUCAGAAUGAGCCUGCGGCCCAUCAGCUUGUUGGUAGGGUAACGGCCUACCAAGGCUAAGACGGGUAGCUGGUCUGAGAGGAUGAUCAGCCACACUGGCACUGGAACACGGGCCAGACUCCUACGGGAGGCAGCAGUGGGGAAUCUUGGUCAAUGGCCGCAAGCCUGAACCAGCGACGCCUCGUGAGUGAUGAAGGCCUUCGGGUUGUAAAGCUCUGUGGGGAGGAA